GGCCACACCAAGAACAAAGGCAAAAAGGAAGAGAACAAACUCUAGGUGAAGAAUUUCAAGAGAAAAAGUGUGAAAAAUCAAGGAAAACAAGUGAAAAAGGUAAAAUUUCUAAAUUUAAACUUGAAAUCUAUUUUCCUUAAGCAUGUCUCCUUAUUUUUCAUGGUUAGAUUUCAUGAUUUCAUAGUGAAUUCAUGGCUGAUCAAAAUGGGUAUGGAGAGAGAAUGAUGUUGGAUUGAUUUGAUUCUAAGUUAUGUUAGUGUUUUUAAUUAGUUUAUUAUGUCUAGAAACAAAACAACAAGAAAAGAAUUCAUUUUCCCCAUCACCCAUCAAUGGCCGAAUUUUCUAGGGAGGAUAUUGUGGCUGAAAUUAAUGAUGUUUCAUGAUAUUUUGGUGAUAUUUGAUGUUUGGUGAGGCUGAAAAUUAAAUGAGAAAUUUUGGUGUGAAAAUCUGAAUUUUUGCUCAACGAAUAGACAUGUGUGAUUAUUGACCCGAGAUUGAUAAAUUGAAUCUCAUUCACAGUCACUGAGGUAAUUUAGGUAUAAUUGGAGUGUAGAAAGUGAGAAGAAUUGAUUUGGAGUUAAAUUGGAGAUUUUAGCCGAUUAGACCGAGUAUAGUGUGACUUAGGUCGAAUAUCACAUUUAAGCGAUUAAUCGGACAUUUUGCAUUCCAUAUCAUGCAUUAGUAGUCUAAAUUAGUUUAAUUUUGAUUUAGUACCAAUGUAGUAAGUUUCUCGAUUUUGUACUGUGUCAAGGUGGUGAGUCCUCUGAUAAAGGCAAGAAAAUUGCACCCGAGAACCAGUAGUAUGAGUACUUCAAAAAUUCACACUCUAAACAUUGUGAGUAACCUUAUCAUCAUUUUAAUUAUCUAAAGUAUGUUUUAAUUCGGUUUUGGUGAAAUUUUAUGAAAAUGAGUUAAAUGGUUAAUUUUAGGUUUUAUAAACAAAAUGUGUUUAAAUGAAAAGAUUUUAUAAAUUGUCUUGAAACUGAAUGAUGAUUUUGAAAAGAGUAAUUGGAGACCACUUGUUAUGUUGUAAAAUUUAUGAUUUGAAUAAAUGGCUUAUGACAAUAUUUGCAUGAAUGGCUGAAUUGGUAUUUGUGUUGAAAUAUAUGAAAUGUGUAUUUAGCCUUGAAAGGUUGUGAAUUACAAUAAUUACCAUAUCAUGUUAUUGAAUUUUAUUGUAUGGUGGGUUUAGCUUGCUGCAGUGGGCGAGUUUCUGUGGACCAGCCUAUUAGAGGGGUACAGUAAACCCCUUUAUAUUUUACCUCAGUUAGAGAGGCGAGUAGGGUAACUUCCGAGGUAUAACUUUUAGAGUUCACUUAACGCUAAACCACCACGUGAGGAAAAACUCGACCAACGCCAAGGAACGACUAUAUUUUUAAAAUAAAAACAUGAUUUAUGCGUACAUAAUUUUAAUAGCCUUGGCGGACUCGGUUUGGGAUAGCCCUCGACCAAGGUAUCUCAGAUAACUGAGUAUGAUAAUAAUUUUUGGCAUGAGCCAAGCUUUUUAAGAAAUUCAUAAGCCAUACCGAUUACUUGAUUUAAAUAAAUUGAUUCAUUUGGUUGAAAUAAGUUGAAAGAUGAUAAAUUACAGUUUGAUGAAAUGUUUUAAUAGUCUCUUUUUACUCGACUUUAGAUAUUUUGAGUGAUGUUUGUUUACUCACUGGGAUUUUAUAAUCUCACCACCUUCCUUUCCACCCAUUUUAGGCUCAGAAUAGAUUGUAGAUAACUGAUAUCGGCGAGGAUUACAGUUGGACUUGCCACAUCCAAAACUGUAGGUUCAUUUCUUUUGAUACUUUUGGUCAUUCGUGGGCCCACGUAUCACUAUAAAUUAAAUUCUUUACUUUGGUUAUUUGUAUUACUGUAUGUAGGAAUUUAUUUUGCUUUUACGUUGUAAAAAUUAUUUGUGCAGUGUUCUUAAAAUAUUGUUUUAUGAGAAAAUUGAAUAUUUAUUCAAUAUUUUUAUUUUAUUCUAACGGUCAUAAUUCCAUUUUAAACGAAUGUUUUAGACAUCCAAAAUUAUUUUUGAUUAUGAAAUAUGUGUUUUCCACUUACGUACUACAUUUUUAACUGAUUUUGAGAUUUUUGGAAAAAAAGAUCAAAAUACCCUUAUGAGACAAAAAUUAUUAUUUUAUUUGUUUAAGUUGGAAAUAGUUUAAAAUCUUUUAGAAUGUGGUAUUUGGCAACAGUUACUCACAGGAGAAAUAAGAAGCUGAUAUUAAAGCCUUGUGAGGUUCUAGUUGACAUUCCGGGUAAUGAAUGUCGAUCGGGACGUCUCGGCGGUUGUCACAGGCUCGAUGGGAGUUCAGGGUCAUGACAUUAAUUUUCACCUUUCUAAGACCUAUGACCUUUACUGUUGACUUAUCACCCAAAGUCAAAUUUCCAACCAUUCUUGAAGCAAAUCAAAAUAAUCCUUUUGAUAGUCUAUGUGAGUGACACAAGUAUAAUCUAAAUACCAAUAAGAAUUUACAUGCAUAUCUUCUGAGAUUGCCAAGAUCACACAAUCAUCAACGUUAGUAACGAAAACACACUCACUUUUAUUCUUAUCACUUUCAUCCUUUUUGUAGGACAAUCCCUUCAAAUAUGUCCAUAUUGAAAACACUGAAUACUUGUCACCCUUAGAUCUCAUGCCCAUUAACUUACUCUUUCGAACCUCGACCACCAAUGCUGAGUCAACUAAAUCUCUAUCUCCUUCACUAAACAUUAACAUUGCUUGUACUUAAUCUAAUGUUAUCGUAUCAUUCUUGUAAAUAAGAGAUUCCAUAAUCUAAAACGAUGCAAGGAACAAUAGUGCCUUCUUUCCUCCACCCUAACGUUAACAUCCUUCAAUUGAUCAAUGAUCCCAUCAAAUUCGUUCAUAUGCUUUAUGAGAUCUCUAUUCUCCUCCAUCUUUAAGUGAUAUAGCUUUUGCCUAACCUACAACUUGUUGGAAAGAUUUUUUGCUGAAUACACACAAAUUUUUGGUCAAAAUUUCUUGAUUUGAAAAUUUCUUGCUAAUUUUUGCCAUCAUGGAGGCAAUUUGUUCAUAUUUUUCUCUUAUGCUUGUCGUUAAAGAUUCCAAAGUCUUCGUAAGAAGCGUAACUUGUUCUUCUAGAGAUGCUGUUCCAGUUGUCAUGACAGUCAUCACUGCAGAAUUUGCUUUUGACGAAGAACUUUGGUGAGGGGAUGAUGAAACAGAGCUACUGCUUGAAUAGCUAUGU
rnacentral:lncRNA from 1 species